rnacentral:tmRNA from 1 species
GGGGUCGACCGGUUUUGACAGCAAGUUUAAUAACUAUGUUAGCAAGUCGAGCAUUGAAAAUGAACUCGUUAAUAUCAUUUUCAAAAUUUAAAUGGCGAAAAUAACUACGCUUUAGCUGCAUAAUUGACUGAAUUAUAGUAAGUCUUUGCAAUAUCCUAGCUAGGCUAGGAAGCUAGAUGUCUCAUGAUAGCUCUUGUCAACUGAUAUCAUAUAUGAGGCACCAUAUUCGUUGACAUAGGUUUUUGUUUUCACUAACCAAAAACUAAAACUAACAGUGAUAAGGAAAAUAUUUAGGUUGUCUAAUACCUAUAUUUUUUCGAAAAAUUAAAGUAGACUAAACUUGUAGAAUGCAUUUUUGUUCCUUGUUUGGACGCGGGUUCGAUUCCCGCCGACUCCACCA